UCGGACCCCCACCACCAUCUUUACCGUUAAGCCACACAAACCACCAUGUCACCGCUCCUCGCCUCUCUAAUCCCCUCUAUCGCCACCGCUCAGCUGCCGCUAAAACCUCCAAACUCUCCCCUAUCUCAAUUCCCCCACCGCUCGUCCCCUGAAAUCAACACAAUCUCACGGCGAAAUGCAGCCGUUUUGCUCUCGUCAAUCAUCACUCCACUUCUCCCUUCUUUCCUCCAACCACGCCUCGCCUCCGCGUUGUCAUUCGGCAUCUCAGGACCAAAGGAAUGGCUGAAAGAGCAAAAGAAGAAGUCCGCCAAGUUUCUCUUAGCUCCGGUCGAUGCCUCUCGCAACAUCCUUCAGUCUGCCUAUCUCUUACUAAUGAAAAGUGAAGCAGAGUUCGGUGAAAAUGACUUGGAAGAAGUUCAAAAGUUGUUUGUUUCGGCUGCUAGAGACUGUGUUCCUCAGGACAGGAAUUCUUUCGUUGAGUUCCAAGCUAACACUGGAGUUGAGGUUUGCACAUUCCGGUUGAUUGUGAAAAAUGCAUCAUCUUUGCUUGAUGACAAAGAUCCAAUCAAGUUAGAAGCUGAAGCCAAGCUCAGUGAUCUCGUAAGAUCAUUUUCUUCUCUUAAUGGCAUUGCAAGGGAAAGUGGGGUUCAACUUACUUCAGACAGCAGACAAAGAGCUGCAGAUGCACUUAAAGAUACAAUAUCUUCACUAAACAACUUUGAGCAGGUUAUCAAGGAUUGUCUUCAAGUUUGAUGACUUCAAUUCUGGCAAGCAGAAACAAAAAUUGAGUAGCGUUGGACAUUUAUGGAUGACCAGAGACUGAUUCUCAAGGGGCCAUUAAGGUGCAAUAAAUUGGGGCAAAAGGAGUGUAAAAGAAAUGCCUAAUAUGUUCUACACUGAGAGAAUAUUUACUACAGCUCGAGAUUGUUUUACAACUCUUGAUAUAGCAAACAUGAUCACAUGCAGAAAAAUGUGAGGUCAUGGACCUUCAGUUGAGUACAGGCAAUUGUAAAUAAUUCCAAAAUUAGGCAUGUUGGUGG